rnacentral:rRNA from 1 species
UACGUAGGGGGCAAGCGUUGUCCGGAAUUAUUGGGCGUAAAGCGCGCGCAGGCGGUCUUUUAAGUCUGAUGUGAAAGCCCACGGCUCAACCGUGGAGGGUCAUUGGAAACUGGGAGACUUGAGUGUAGGAGAGGAAAGUGGAAUUCCACGUGUAGCGGUGAAAUGCGUAGAGAUGUGGAGGACACCAGUGGCGAAGGCGACUUGCUGGCCUAUAACGUACGCUGAGGCGCGAAAGCGUGGGGAGCAAACAGG